GACGAACGCUGGCGGCGUGCCUAAUACAUGCAAGUAGAACGCUGAAGGAGGAGCUUGCUUCUCUGGAUGAGUUGCGAACGGGUGAGUAACGCGUAGGUAACCUGCCUGGUAGCGGGGGAUAACUAUUGGAAACGAUAGCUAAUACCGCAUAAUAGUAGAUGUUGCAUGACAUUUGCUUAAAAGGUGCAAUUGCAUCACUACCAGAUGGACCUGCGUUGUAUUAGCUAGUUGGUGGGGUAACGGCUCACCAAGGCGACGAUACAUAGCCGACCUGAGAGGGGGAGCGGCCACACUGGGACUGAGACACGGCCCAGACUCCUACGGGAGGCAGCAGUAGGGAAUCUUCGGAAAUGGACGGAAGUCGGACCGAGCAACGCCGCGUGAGUGAAGAAGGUUUUCGGAUCGUAAAGCUCUGUUGUAAGAGAAGAACGAGUGUGAGAGUGGAAAGUUCACACUGUGACGGUAUCUUACCAGAAAGGGACGGCUAACUACGUG
rnacentral:rRNA from 1 species